rnacentral:rRNA from 1 species
AAGAUGGGUGGACCAUCAUCCAAGGCUAAAUACUACUUACUGACCGAUAGUGAACCAGUACCGUGAGGGAAAGGUGAAAAGAACCCCGGAGAGGGGAGUGAAAUAGAAUCUGAAACCGUUUGCGUACAAGCAGUGGGAGCAUAGUUUAGGCUGUGUGACUGCGUACCUUUUGUAUAAUGGGUCAGCGAGUUACUUUCAGUGGCGAGGUUAACUGAAUAAGGGAGCCGUAGAGAAAUCGAGUCUGAAUAGGGCGAUAGUCGCUGGGAGUAGACCCGAAACCGGGCGAUCUAGCCAUGUGCAGGAUGAAGGUUGGGUAACACCAACUGGAGGUCCGAACCGGGUAAUGUUGAAAAAUUAUCGGAUGACGUGUGGCUAGGAGUGAAAGGCUAAUCAAGCCCGGAGAUAGCUGGUUCUCCCCGAAAGCUAUUUAGGUAGCGCCUCGUGAAUGAUUACUGGGGGUAGAGCACUGUUUCGGCUAGGGGGCUGUCAUGGCUUACCAAACCGAUGCAAACUCCGAAUACCGGCUAAUUGAAUCACGGGAGACACACGGCGGGUGCUAACGUCCGUCGUGGAGAGGGAAACAACCCAGACCGCCAGCUAAGGUCCCCAAGUACUAGUUAAGUGGGAAACGAUGUGGGAAGGCAUAGACAGCCAGGAGGUUGGCUUAGAAGCAGCCACCCUUUAAAGAAAGCGUAAUAGCUCACUGGUCGAGUCGGCCUGCGCGGAAGAUGUAACGGGGCUAAAACUAGUCACCGAAGCUGCGGAUGUGCGCGAAAGCGCACGUGGUAGGGGAGCGUUCUGUAGGCUGAUGAAGGUGCAUUGAGAAGUGUGCUGGAGGUAUCAGAAGUGCGAAUGCUGACAUGAGUAACGAUAAUGUGGGUGAAAAGCCCACACGCCGGAAGUCCCAGGUUUCCUGCACGACGUUAAUCGGAGCAGGGUGAGUCGGCCCCUAAGGCGAGGCUGAAGAGCGUAGUCGAUGGGAACCAGGUUAAUAUUCCUGGACUUUUUAUAAGUGGUGAAGUGGGGACGAAGAAGGCUAGGUGAGCCAGGCGUUGGUUGUCCUGGUACUUGCAUGUAGGGGGGAAGACUUGGCAAAUCCGGUUUUCCAUAACUCUGAGGUGCGAAGUGGUUCUGACCUUUUGGUACAGAGAAGUCAUUGAUGCCCGGCUUCCAGGAAAAGCUGCUAGCCAUAACUUAUAGAGAACCGUACCGCAAACCGACACAGGUGGACAGGUAGAGAAUACUAAGGCGCUUGAGAGAACUCGGGUGAAGGAACUAGGCAAAAUGGUACCGUAACUUCGGGAGAAGGUACGCCCUUU